rnacentral:rRNA from 1 species
CCUACGGGCGGCUGCAGUGGGGAAUCUUGCGCAAUGGGCGAAAGCCUGACGCAGCGACGCCGCGUGAGUGAUGAAGGCCUUCGGGUUGUAAAGCUCUGUGGGGAGAGAAGAAUUAGUGUGGGCUAAUCACCACAUGAUGACGGUAUCUCCUUAGCAAGCACCGGCUAACUCUGUGCCAGCAGCCGCGGUAAGACAGAGGGUGCAAACGUUGUUCGGAAUUACUGGGCGUAAAGCGAGUGUAGGCGGUCUUGUAAGUCGGAUGUGAAAGCCCCGGGCUCAACCCGGGAAGUGCACUCGAUACUGCAAGACUUGAGUACCGGAGAGGUUGGUGGAAUUCUCGGUGUAGAGGUGAAAUUCGUAGAUAUCGAGAGGAACACCGGUGGCGAAGGCGGCCAACUGGACGAGUACUGACGCUGAGACUCGAAAGCGUGGGGAGCAAACAGGAUUAGAUACCCCGGUAGUC